rnacentral:rRNA from 1 species
GACGAACGCUGGCGGCGUGCUUAACACAUGCAAGUCGAACGGAAAGGCCCUGCUUUUGUGGGGUGCUCGAGUGGCGAACGGGUGAGUAACACGUGAGUAACCUGCCCUUGACUUUGGGAUAACUUCAGGAAACUGGGGCUAAUACCGGAUAGGAGCUCCUGCUGCAUGGUGGGGGUUGGAAAGUUUCGGCGGUUGGGGAUGGACUCGCGGCUUAUCAGCUUGUUGGUGGGGUAGUGGCUUACCAAGGCUUUGACGGGUAGCCGGCCUGAGAGGGUGACCGGCCACAAUGGGAAUGAGGAACGGCCCAGAAUCCUACGGGGGGCAAGCGUUGGGAAUAUUGCCACAUGGGCGGAAGCCGGAAUCCGGAACCUCGCGUGCGGGAUGACGGCCUUCGGGGUGUAAACCGCUUUCGCCUGUGACGAAGCGUGGGUGACGGUAAUGGGUUAAGAGGCAACGGCUAAAUACGUG